rnacentral:rRNA from 1 species
GACGAACGCUGGCGGCGUGCUUAACACAUGCAAGUCGAGCGGGGACAUUGGAGUGCUUGCACAAAGAUGUUCUAGCGGCGGACGGGUGAGUAACGCGUGAGCAACCUUUCCUUCACUGGGGAAUAACACCGGGAAACUGGUACUAAUACCGCAUGAGACCACAGAGUCGCAUGGCUUAGGGGUCAAAAGAUUUAUUGGUGAAGGGUGGGCUCGCGUCUGAUUAGGUAGUUGGUGAGGUAACGGCCCACCAAGCCGACGAUCAGUAGCCGACCUGAGAGGGUGAUCGGCCACAUUGGGACUGAGACACGGCCCAA